rnacentral:lncRNA from 1 species
AUUUGGGCCACUUAAGUUGCCUUGUCCGCCCCAAGGGCGGGUUCUACAUCUCAUACAUUUUUAUACUUUGAUUAUCCAAGCUUCAAUUUACGUUAAACCAACUGAUUUCAUAAAAACCAAAUAAAAUUCGACACCUAAUAUAAGUCUCAACUGCAGAACACCAGACCACUACCACUUAGUGAUACUCAGGCCACAAGCAUAUUUUAAAAGAUUAAAACCACAGCUAACUGAUGACAAAUUCAAUACAUAUAGUGAAACCAACAGUAGAAUGCUUCAAAUAUUCACACAUAACAUUACAAUGCAACAGUAAUCUCUGAAUCCAUUCAAAUACUGAAAACUGAAUUUUAAAGCAAUAAGGUUGAUGAUGAAAGCUGAUCUAAACCCAACAUCAUCACCAAACUAAAUUUUAUUCACCAAAGUUUAGUCAAUACCAUGAUAGUCCAUGAUCAAAUACACAACAACAAGAGUCCAACUGACAAAACUGAAGUCUAAGCAUAAUGUAACUGACUGGAAGACUAAAUCUACAUGCUAAUUGAAACUUAAUACAGUCCUUAGAAAGGUACUGCCAACAACAUAGGCAAACACAAUAGGUUGUACAGUAAAACACUGUAAUGCAGAAAACAGGGCUAAAUUUUAAACCCAAAUCAGUUGAUAUUAUGCUUAACUCCACAUUUUCAAUUACAUGCUUCAAUUUUGAGCUUCAUAUUAAGUAGAGUCCAAGGAGGUACCUGGAUAUCCAAACAAACCAAAAGAAUGAAGAUUUCAGCAGCUUUAACAAAGGAAAUGGAUCGGCAGAUAGAAACACAUAUAAUCUCAGCUUCCCCAGACCAUUUGUAAUCUAGACAAAUAGAAAUUUGUUGAAAGUUUCGAAAGUUAUGGCUAACUAUGAAGAUCAAGAGCAGAAACCAAGCAAGUUUUUAACCAAUGCAGUAUUUCUCAGUAUUGUUUAGAGUGUAAAGGGCUCAAUCCUUUUUGCAUUCUUAGUCUUCUUAAUCUCUGCCUAAUUUUACCGAAAAUGGACCUUAUAUUUGGGACCUUAGGCAGCAGAACUAAGUUCACAAUUUUGACAGUUGCCCCUUCCGCAGUUUUCCUUUUGUGCAAAUAUCACCCUAAAUUUCAAAACCAAUUACUGAACUACCCAAUCCCCUCUUUCUUGGAAGCUUCCCAAUCAGUUAUAGCGAGAUUCCUCUUAUUAAAAUACCCUAAAUGCCCUUUAUGCUUCUGUUAUUUACCUUCAGAAGAUCCUAUGAGUCAAACUUGACCCAAGACUCAGCCUAAACCCAUGGGUCUGUAUACUAACAACCCAAACUUACAACUUCAAACUAUUACAAACGAUCAUUGAAGCUCAAAUGACUCAGGUUGCUAAGGUCAAACGAAAGAAAAAUAGGAGAGGAAAAGAAACGAUUUGCAGAGAACACGCAUGAUUUAAACCAAGAGAGCACUUAAUUUGUUUUAGAAAUGAUUCGAACCUUAAUGAAUUAUAUUCUCAAAAUGAACUAGGUUAACGAAAAUUCAACUAAAAUGGGAAGAGAAAAAAUGAAAUAAAAGGGAAAACACAUACUGAAAUUGUCGGAGAAUAGAGGAGUGACUUGGUAACAUGCAUCGUUUGGCAAAAUUACCGACCCUUGGUAUUGCAUGGGCCGAUGGGCUCCGAAACGAAUCGAAAUCUAUGCUAGUCACUCGUUAUCAAGGAGAACAGUCAACUGGCAUAAGCUUCGACUUAUUAUCGACCCAGAACUGCUUGAACUCUGACAAGGGGAGCA